rnacentral:rRNA from 1 species
GAUGAACGCUGGCGGCGUGCCUAAUACAUGCAAGUCGAGCGAACGGACGAGAAGUUUGCUGUGGUGAUGUUAGCGGCGGACGGGUGAGUAAUACGUGGAUAACCUAUCUAUAAGACUGGGAUAACUUCAGGAAACCGGAGCUAUGACCGGGUCAUAUUUUGAACUGCAUGGUUCAAAGGUGAAAGAUGGUCUUGCGGUCACUUAUAGAUGGAUCCGCGCGGCAUUAGCUAGUUGGUAAGGUAACGGCCUACCAAGGCAACGAUGCAUAGCCGACGUGAGAGGGUGGUCGGCGACCCGGGAGCGUGAACGGCGACACGGCGCCUACGGCAGGCAGCAGUAGGCAACCUUCGGCAGCAGUCGAAAGCCUGACGGAGCAACGGCGAGCGUGUGGUGAAGGUCUUGGGAUCGUAAAGCUGUGUUAUUAGGGGUGAACCUCUGUUAAAGUAACAGUACACAUCUUGACGGUACCUAAUCAGAAAGCCCCGGCUAACUACGUG